GGAGAGAUGGCCGAGUGGCUGAAGGCGCACGCCUGGAAAGUGUGUAUACGGUAACGUAUCGGGGGUUCGAAUCCCCCUCUCUCCGCCA
rnacentral:tRNA from 2 species